rnacentral:rRNA from 1 species
GGCCAAGUUUUUAAGGGCGCACGGUGGAUGCCUUGGCACCAGGAACCGAUGAAGGACGUGGGAGGCCGCGAUAGGCCCCGGGGAGCUGUCAACCGAGCUUUGAUCCGGGGGUGUCCGAAUGGGGAAACCCGGCAGUCGUCAUGGGCUGUCACCCGCUGCUGAACACAUAGGCAGUGUGGAGGGAACGCGGGGAAGUGAAACAUCUCAGUACCCGCAGGAAGAGAAAACAACCGUGAUUCCGGGAGUAGUGGCGAGCGAAACUGGAUGAGGCCAAACCAGUCACGUGUGAUACCCGGCAGGGGUUGCGUGGUUGGGGUUGUGGGAUCUCUUUUCUGCAGUCUGCCGGCUGUGGGACGAGUCAGAAACCGUUGAUGUAGGCGAAGGACAUGCGAAAGGUCCGGCGUAGAGGGUAAGACCCCCGUAGCUGAAACGUCAACGGCUCGUUUAAGAGACACCCAAGUAGCACGGGGCCCGAGAAAUCCCGUGUGAAUCUGGCGGGACCACCCGUUAAGCCUAAAUAUUCCCUGGUGACCGAUAGCGGAUAGUACCGUGAGGGAAUGGUGAAAAGUACCGCGGGAGCGGAGUGAAAUAGUACCUGAAACCGUGUGCCUACAAGCCGUGGGAGCGUCGCGUUGAGUCUUCGGAUUCAACGUCGUGACUGCGUGCCUUUUGAAGAAUGAGCCUGCGAGUUUGCGGUAUGUUGCGAGGUUAACCCGUGUGGGGAAGCCGUAGCGAAAGCGAGUCCGAAUAGGGCGUUGAGUAGCGUGCCCAAGACCCGAAGCGGAGUGAUCUAGCCAUGGGCAGGUUGAAGCGGAGGUAAGACUUCGUGGAGGACCGAACCCACCAGGGUUGAAAACCUGGGGGAUGACCUGUGGUUAGGGGUGAAAGGCCAAUCAAACUCCGUGAUAGCUGGUUCUCCCCGAAAUGCAUUUAGGUGCAGCGUCGUGUGUUUCUUGCCGGAGGUAGAGCACUGGAUAGGCGAUGGGCCCUACCGGGUUACUGACCUUAGCCAAACUCCGAAUGCCGGUAAGUGAGAGCGCGGCAGUGAGACUGUGGGGGAUAAGCUCCAUGGUCGAGAGGGAAACAGCCCAGAGCAUCGACUAAGGCCCCUAAGCGUGUGCUAAGUGGGAAAGGAUGUGGAGUCGCAGAGACAACCAGGAGGUUGGCUUAGAAGCAGCCACCCUUGAAAGAGUGCGUAAUAGCUCACUGGUCAAGUGAUUCCGCGCCGACAAUGUAGCGGGGCUCAAGCACACCGCCGAAGUCAUGUCAUUGCGAUAUUACUCCUAACGGGGAUCGUGAUGGGUAGGGGAGCGUCGUGUGCCGGGUGAAGCAGCCGUGGAAACGAGUUGUGGACGGUUCACGAGUGAGAAUGCAGGCAUGAGUAGCGAUACACACGUGGGAAACGUGUGCGCCGAUUGACUAAGGGUUCCUGGGUCAAGCUGAUCUGCCCAGGGUAAGUCGGGACCUAAGGCGAGGCCGACAGGCGUAGUCGAUGGACAACCGGUUGAUAUUCCGGUACCCGCUUUGAAGCGCCAAACAUUGAAUCAGGCGAUGCUAAGUCCGUGAAGCCGCCCUGAGCUCUUCGGAGCGUAGGGGAGUGGUGGAGCCGACGAACCAGACUUGUAGUAGGUGAGUGAUGGGGUGACGCAGGAAGGUAGUCCAGCCCGGGCGGUGGUUGUCCCGGGGUAAGGGUGUAGGCCGUGUGGUAGGCAAAUCCGUCACACGUUAAGGCUGAGACCUGAUGCCGAGCCGAUUGUGGUGAAGUGGAUGAUCCUAUGCUGUCGAGAAAAGCCUCUAGCGAGUUUCAUGGCGGCCCGUACCCUAAACCGACUCAGGUGGUCAGGUAGAGAAUACCGAGGCGUUCGGGUGAACUAUGGUUAAGGAACUCGGCAAAAUGCCCCCGUAACUUCGGGAGAAGGGGGGCCAUUGCUGGUGAUGGAAUUUUCUUCCUGAGCUGGUGGUGGCCGCAGAGACCAGCGAGAAGCGACUGUUUACUAAAAACACAGGUCCGUGCGAAGCCGUAAGGCGAUGUAUACGGACUGACGCCUGCCCGGUGCUGGAACGUUAAGGGGACCGGUUAGUCAUGAUUCGUCAUGGCGAAGCUGAGAACUUAAGCGCCAGUAAACGGCGGUGGUAACUAUAACCAUCCUAAGGUAGCGAAAUUCCUUGUCGGGUAAGUUCCGACCUGCACGAAUGGCGUAACGACUUCUCGACUGUCUCAACCAUAGGCCCGGUGAAAUUGCAUUACGAGUAAAGAUGCUCGUUUCGCGCAGCAGGACGGAAAGACCCCGGGACCUUUACUAUAGCUUGAUAUUGGUGUUCGGUUCGGCUUGUGUAGGAUAGGUGGGAGACUUUGAAGCAUCAACGCCAGUUGGUGUGGAGUCAUUGUUGAAAUACCACUCUGGUCGUGCUGGAUGUCUAACCUGGGUCCGUGAUCCGGAUCAGGGACAGUGUCUGGUGGGUAGUUUAACUGGGGCGGUUGCCUCCUAAAGGGUAACGGAGGCGCCCAAAGGUUCCCUCAGCCUGGUUGGCAAUCAGGUGUUGAGUGUAAGUGCACAAGGGAGCUUGACUGUGAGACUGACGGGUCGAGCAGGUACGAAAGUAGGGACUAGUGAUCCGGCGGUGGCUUGUGGAAGCGCCGUCGCUCAACGGAUAAAAGGUACCCCGGGGAUAACAGGCUGAUCUUCCCCAAGAGUCCAUAUCGACGGGAUGGUUUGGCACCUCGAUGUCGGCUCGUCGCAUCCUGGGGCUGGAGUCGGUCCCAAGGGUUGGGCUGUUCGCCCAUUAAAGCGGUACGCGAGCUGGGUUUAGAACGUCGUGAGACAGUUCGGUCCCUAUCCGCUGUGCGCGUAGGAGUCUUGAGAAGGGCUGUCCCUAGUACGAGAGGACCGGGACGGACGAACCUCUGGUGUGCCAGUUGUCCUGCCAAGGGCAUGGCUGGUUGGCUACGUUCGGAAAGGAUAACCGCUGAAAGCAUCUAAGCGGGAAGCCUGCUUCGAGAUGAGGGCUCCCACCUCCUUGAGAGGGUAAGGCUCCCAGUAGACGACUGGGUUGAUAGGCCAGAUAUGGAAGCCGGGUAACCGGUGGAGUUGACUGGUACUAAUAGGCCGAGGGCUUGUCCUC